rnacentral:rRNA from 1 species
ACGCUGGCGGCACGCCUAACACAUGCAAGUCGAACGAAGUAGCAAUACUUAGUGGCAGACGGGUGAGUAACAUGUAGGUAUCUGCCCUUUGGCCUGGAAUAACACGAGGAAACUUGUGCUAAUACCGGAUAAGUCUUUACGGAGAAAGCUUUAUGCACCAUUGGAUGAGCCUGCACUUGAUUAGUUUGUUGGUGGGGUAAUGGCCUACCAAGACUGUGAUCAAUAGCUGAUUUGAGAGGAUGAUCAGCCACAUUGGGACUGAGACACGGCCCAAACUCCUACGGGAGGCAGCAGUGGGGAAUCUUGCACAAUGGAGGAAACUCUGAUGCAGCGAUGCCGCGUGAGUGAAGAAGGCCCUUGGGUUGUAAAGCUCUUUCGUCGGGGAAGAAAAUGACUGUACCCGAAUAAGAAGGUCCGGCUAACUUCGUGCCAGCAGCCGCGGUAAUACGAAGGGACCUAGCGUAGUUCGGAAUUACUGGGCUUAAAGAGUUCGUAGGUGGUUGAAAAAGUUAGUGGUGAAAUCCCAGAGCUUAACUCUGGAACUGCCAUUAAAACUUUUCAGCUAGAGUAUGAUAGAGGAAAGCAGAAUUUCUAGUGUAGAGGUGAAAUUCGUAGAUAUUAGAAAGAAUACCAAUUGCGAAGGCAGCUUUCUGGAUCAUUACUGACACUGAGGAACGAAAGCAUGGGUAGCGAAGAGGAUUAGAUACCCUCGUAGUCCAUGCCGUAAACGAUGUGUGUUAGACGUUGGAAAUUUAUUUUCAGUGUCGCAGGGAAACCGAUAAACACACCGCCUGGGGAGUACGACCGCAAGGUUAAAACUCAAAUGAAUUGACGGGGACCCGCACAAGUAGUGGAGCAUGUGGUUUAAUUCGAAGAUACGCGCAGAACCUUACCAACACUUGACAUGUUCGUCGCGACUCUAAGAGAUUAGAGUUUUCGGUUCGGCCGGACGAAACACAGGUGCUGCAUGGCUGUCGUCAGCUCGUGUCGUGAGAUGUUGGGUUAAGUCCCGCAACGAGCGCAACCCUCACUUUUAGUUGCCAUCAUUAAGUUGGGCACUCUGAAAGAACUGCCAGUGAUAAGCUGGAGGAAGGUGGGGAUGACGUCAAGUCCUCAUGGCCCUUACGUGUUGGGCUACACACGUGCUACAAUGGUAUCUACAACAGGAAGCAAGACUGCGAAGUUAAGCAAAUCCCUAAAAGAUACCUCAGUUCGGAUUGCACUCUGCAACUCGAGUGCAUGAAGCUGGAAUUACUAGUAAUCGUGGAUCAGCGUGCCACGGUGAAUGCGUUCCCGGGUCUUGUACACACCGCCCGUCACACCAUGGGAGUUGGUUCUACCUUAAGGCAAGGUUUCAAACCCUUGACCACGGUAUAGUCAGCGACUGGGGUGAAGUCGUAGCAAGGUAGCCGUAGGGGAACCUGCGGCUGGAUUACCUCCUUUCU